GCGUGUGAACUGUGAGGGAUUGUUUGAUUCAAGUUUGAAUUAUUUCUGUUAUUGAUUUGGUUGACUGUGGUUACUGUAUGUUUGGUUUGAUUGAGUUUUUGUUUUUGGGUUGUUUGAUCUUCAAUUGAAAAUAGAAUUAUUUUGAUCGAGUAGUUUCUAUCUUUUAUUGUGAUAGCUUACAAUGAUUUUGCUUUAUUUUAUAAUGGGAAAUAGAAAAUGAAAAGUGAUUAUGAGCUUUUAGCAUCGAUCCCCUCAUUUUUAAUUGUCAUGAUUUUGUUUGAAUAUAGAAAAUAAAUUUGGUUUGAGGCUUUGAGCAUUUGGGGAAUUAUUCAAAUUGAAUUAUG
rnacentral:lncRNA from 1 species